AUUGAACGCUGGCGGCAGGCCUAACACAUGCAAGUCGAACGGUAACAGGGAUCAGCUUGCUGAUUCGCUGACGAGUGGCGGACGGGUGAGUAAUGUCUGGGAAACUGCCUGAUGGAGGGGGAUAACUACUGGAAACGGUAGCUAAUACCGCAUAACGUCGCAAGACCAAAGAGGGGGACCUUCGGGCCUCUUGCCAUCGGAUGUGCCCAGAUGGGGUUAGCUAGUAGGUGGGGUAACGGCUCACCUAGGCGACGAUCCCUAGCUGGUCUGAGAGGAUGACCAGCCACACUGGAACUGAGACACGGUCCAGACUCCUACGGGAGGCAGCAGUGGGGAAUAUUGCACAAUGGGCGCAAGCCUGAUGCAGCCAUGCCGCGUGUAUGAAGAAGGCCUUCGGGUUGUAAAGUACUUUCAGCGGGGAGGAAGGGAGUAAAGUUAAUACCUUUGCUCAUUGACGUUACCCGCAGAAGAAGCACCGGCUAACUCCGUG
rnacentral:rRNA from 1 species